rnacentral:tRNA from 1 species
GGUAGCGUAGCUCAGUGGUAGAGCAGGGGACUCAUAAGCCCUUGGUCGCAGGUUCAAAUCCCGCCGCUACCACCA